rnacentral:rRNA from 1 species
UGCUGGGUGGAUCAGUGGCGAACGGGUGAGUAACACGUGAGCAACCUGCCCUGGACUCUGGGAUAAGCGCUGGAAACGGCGUCUAAUACUGGAUAUGAACCACGAAGGCAUCUUCAGUGGUUGGAAAGAUUUUUCGGUCUGGGAUGGGCUCGCGGCCUAUCAGCUUGUUGGUGAGGUAAUGGCUCACCAAGGCGUCGACGGGUAGCCGGCCUGAGAGGGUGACCGGCCACACUGGGACUGAGACACGGCCCAGACUCCUACGGGAGGCAGCAGUGGGGAAUAUUGCACAAUGGGCGGAAGCCUGAUGCAGCAACGCCGCGUGAGGGAUGACGGCCUUCGGGUUGUAAACCUCUUUUAGCAAGGAAGAAGCUUUUGUGACGGUACUUGCAGAAAAAGCGCCGGCUAACUACGUGCCAGCAGCCGCGGUAAUACGUAGGGCGCAAGCGUUAUCCGGAAUUAUUGGGCGUAAAGAGCUCGUAGGCGGUUUGUCGCGUCUGCUGUGAAAUCCCGAGGCUCAACCUCGGGCCUGCAGUGGGUACGGGCAGACUAGAGUGCGGUAGGGGAGAUUGGAAUUCCUGGUGUAGCGGUGGAAUGCGCAGAUAUCAGGAGGAACACCGAUGGCGAAGGCAGAUCUCUGGGCCGUAACUGACGCUGAGGAGCGAAAGGGUGGGGAGCAAACAGGCUUAGAUACCCUGGUAGUCCACCCCGUAAACGUUGGGAACUAGUUGUGGGGUCCUUUCCACGGAUUCCGUGACGCAGCUAACGCAUUAAGUUCCCCGCCUGGGGAGUACGGCCGCAAGGCUAAAACUCAGAGGAAUUGACGGGGACCCGCACAAGCGGCGGAGCAUGCGGAUUAAUUCGAUGCAACGCGAAGAACCUUACCAAGGCUUGACAUACACGAGAACACCCUAGAAAUAGGGGACUCUUUGGACACUCGUGAACAGGUGGUGCAUGGUUGUCGUCAGCUCGUGUCGUGAGAUGUUGGGUUAAGUCCCGCAACGAGCGCAACCCUCGUUCUAUGUUGCCAGCACGUAAUGGUGGGGAACUCAU